rnacentral:rRNA from 1 species
CAGCAGCCGCGGUAAUACAGAGGGUGCGAGCGUUAAUCGGAUUUACUGGGCGUAAAGCGUGCGUAGGCGGCUUCUUAAUUCGGAUGUGAAAUCCCUGAGCUUAACUUAGGAAUUGCAUUCGAUACUGGGAAGCUAGAGUAUGGGAGAGGAUGGUAGAAUUCCAGGUGUAGCGGUGAAAUGCGUAGAGAUCUGGAGGAAUACCGAUGGCGAAGGCAGCCAUCUGGCCUAAUACUGACGCUGAGGUACGAAAGCAUGGGGAGCAAACAGGAUUAGAUACCCCCGUAGUCCCUGUCUCUUAUAC